AGCAGCCGCGGUAAUUCCAGCUCCAAUAGCGUAUAUUAAAGUUGUUGCAGUUAAAAAGCUCGUAGUUGAAUUUCGGAACCGAUGGAUCGGUCACGCCAUUCGGUGUGUACUGGUUUAAUUGGUUCUCACCUUCUAAGGAACCGUGAUGUCAUUAAUUUGGUGUCGCGGGGAAUUAGGACUGUUACCUUGAAAAAUUGAGUGUUUAAAGCAAAGCUCACGCUUGAAUACAUUAGCAUGGAAUAAUGAAAUAGGACAUUGUAUUCUAUUUUGUUGGUUUCUAGGAUCGAUGUAAUGAUUAAUAGGGAUAGUUGGGGGCAUUAGUAUUCAAUUGUCAGAGGUGAAAUUCUUGGA
rnacentral:rRNA from 1 species